rnacentral:tRNA from 1 species
GCGGCUGUAGCUCAAUGGUAGAGCGCGACCUUCCCAAGGUCGAUGUUGUGAGUUCGAGUCUCAUCAGCCGCU